GGCCAGGUUUGCUUUUCUGAGGCUGCCCAUCCCAGCUAUAAAACUCCCUGCCAAGACAAAUUGGAUUAAGCUCAGAUCAGAUUAUGCGAGAGCUGGGCUGUGGGGACUUUUCACUCCAGCCUUUCUUCAGUAAAAAGAACUCCAGAGGCUCAGCAUGACAACAAGAGAAGAAAAAAAGGAGAGAGACCGAAGCCAUGAAGAGAGAACUGGGCUCCUGGGGAGAGGAGAACAAAGAGGGAUAAGAUGCAAGCUCCAACACAUAGUGGCUGACGGAGGUGGCCCGUCAAAAACCAUAUAUGUGAAACCAAAACUACCUCCAGAUUGAGAGAAGAUUGUCUACAGAUUCUGCAGGCAGCUUACACAAGCAAGAAGUGGAAGGCAAUAAUACAGUCAUUUUUUGUUUUA